GCUGGGCACAUGGCACGUACCUGUAGUCCCAGCUACUCAGGAGGCUGAGGUGGGAGGAUCACUUGAGCCCAGGAGUUCUGGGCUGUAGUGCGCUAUGCCGAUUGGGUGUCCGCACUAAGAUGACCUCCUGGGAACAGGGGACCACCAGGUUGCCUAAGAAGGGGUAAACUUGCCCAGGUGGGAAACAAAGCAGGUCAAAACUCCCAUGCUGAUCAGUAGUGGGAUUGCACCUGUGAAUAGCCACUGCACUCCAGCCUGGGCAACAUAGUGAGACCUCGUCUCU
rnacentral:SRP_RNA from 1 species